AUGGGGAGUAGUACAAGACGUCUCUUGUGGGAUGUGGGAAUCAACAGAGAAUACCAGAACUCUAGGGUCUGUGACUACAGAUUUCCUGGCAUUAACUACAGAGGAGAGAUUAAUAGGAAAUAUGCAUAUGAGCAUGGUGUCAAAAAGGAACUUGGUGCGUUGAAGAGUAUGCAGUAUAUGCAACUGAAGUGCUCAAUUGCACCCGUGGUUCCCAAAGCCAGUCUGCUGACCAGGAAGAAGUUGGUUGCCACAAAAGCACCUAGGUUAUCACUUCUCUAUGCUGUUCUCUAUCAGCCUCUAUUUGAUAAGCGAUUUGAGAUUAUUAAUGCAAUUUAUGAACCUACGGAAGAAGAAUGUGAAUGGAAACCAGAUGAAGAAGACGAGAUUUCGGAGGAGUUGAAAGAAAAGGCCAAGAUUGAAGAAGAGAAGAAGGAUGAAGAAAAAGAAGAGCCCAUAGGAAUUCCUGAAUUUUGGUUAACUAUUUUUAAGAAUGUUGACUUGCUUAGUGAUAUGCUUCAGGAACAUGAUGAACCUAUUCUGAAGCACUUGAAAUAUAUUAAAGUGAAGUUCUCGGAUGCUGGCCAGCCUAUGAGUUUUGUCUUAGAAUUUCACUUUGAACCCAGUGAAUAUUUUACAAAUGAAGUGCCAACAAAGGCAUAUAAGAUGAGGUCAGAACCAGAUGAUUCUGAUCCCUUUUGUUUUUGAUGGACUAGAAAUUCUGGGUUGUACAGGGUGCCAGAUAGAUCGGAAAAAAGGAAACAAUGUCACUUUGAGAAACAUUAAGAAGCAGCAGAAACACAAGGGACGUGGGACAGUUUGAACUGUGACUAAAACAGUUUCCAGUGACUCUUGCUUUAAUUUUUUUGCCCCUCCUGAAGUUCCUGAGAGUGGAGAUCUGGAUGACACUGCUGAAGCUAUCCAUGCUGCAAACUUCGAAAUCGGUCACUUUUUACCUGAGCGUAUAAUCCCAAGAUUAGUGCUAUAUUUUACUGGAGAAGCUAUUGAAGAUGAUGAUAAUGGUUAUGAUGAAGAAGGCAAAGAAGCAGAUGAGGAAGGGGAAGAAGAAGGAGAUGAGGAAAAUGAUCCAGACUAUGAACCAAAGAAAGAUCAAAACCCAGCAGAGUGCAAGCAGCAGUGAAGCAGUAUGUGGCCUUGAGGAUAACCU